AUUUGUUUUGUUGAUGUUUUUUGUUUUAUGCGAUUUUUUGCACAAUUACAAGACUAUUUUUAUUAAUUGUCUUCAUGUAACUUUAAUUUGACGCCAACCCGUUUAGAUUGAGAAAUUUAUGAUUAAAAAAUGUUAAUCUAAGUGACUUGUAUCAAGUAAAAUCUCCAACGAAACGACUAUAAAUCAAUAUUUUGUGUGUAACCAUUUACGACUGUUAUUUACAUAAAACAUUACAGUGACCAGAAAAGGCUAACUCAAUAAACCAUCUUAAUGUGCUACAAGAGAUUAAAUUAACAAUUUAUUCAAUUUUGGAAUUGAUUUUGCCAUACAAUUAAUACCAUUUAAUGAGACAUCAAUUGUGACCAUUGAUUAACCAUUUGAAAGUGAAAAUAACAACACGUUUAAUGUCCCGCUGUAACAAAUGUACAAUAGACAAAUUUAAUGUAACAAUUUUUCUUGAUGAAAAGCUGCUUUACUUCCUUCCGUUCAAUUAAACCCUCAAACAAACACAAAUCAAACAACAGACUGUGCAAAAUCAAUUGAUUGAAAAUUUGUUAAAGGCAGCAUCAAGACGAAAAAAGAGAUUUAUAUAUUUAUAUAUAAAUUGAUAAUGCAAAUACAAUUAUGUCUGUUAAACCCUCAAGGUAUAAAUGAGUAGCUUCUUUAAGGAAAGCAAUUAUUGGUGUUGGAUGUUGUUUUAUUUUCCAGGUCAAAAGUGAAACUGACCCAGUCUUUUAGGGUAUUUUGUUUUUAUAAUCAACGUUCAAUAUUAAAGGAAGUAUCACUUUUAAUUUAAAUGAGAUCAUCUUCAUUAAAGAAACCUCCAGAAUCGCCAUUCAAAUUUUGUUUAUUGGUAAAUUAAAAUGGAAAGUUGAACGACCCAAUAAAAAAAAGAGAGAAAAAGAAAACAAAAUUAAGAGUAAAAAGGGUUUGCCAGAUCAACCGAGUUCCGUUUCAUGUUACCCUCAGGCUGAAAAGGAAAUGAAACUGAGAAAAUGAUGAAUCUGAAUAGAAUCCAGUUUUCCUUUUGUUUCAUUUUUCGUUUUCCUUUAUCUCUCUCUCUCUUCUUGGCUUUCCUUUCCUGGUCAAAUGAAAGGAUCAAACUUAUUGUUUCAAUUGGAAUCAGUUAUCCUGAUUAUCAUGAUUAUUAUCAUUAUUAUCAUAAUAGAAGUUAUUAAUCUUAAUCUUUAAUGAACCAGAAACGAGAUAACACACAAGUCAAGUAAAUAACCCAAAAGAUGGAGUUACUUAAAAGAUGUUAACCAGAAAAGUAAAUUUUGAUUUUUAAUUUUCCCUUCAAUGCAAACUCAAUGUAAAUGUCAAUCUUGACCGUUACAGUUUACAAUGAAAGUCAAAUUGAGACCAAAUUUGCGUGUUAAUUAGUGUUUCUCAUGAAAUUACCGGAAAACAUUAAAAUGAUGUUCACAGUUGAUUUACUUGUGAAAUGAUGAUGACAAUGAUUAUUAAAUGAUUAUCAAAGUGACCUGAAUGUUACAUUAAA